rnacentral:rRNA from 1 species
CAGAGUGAACGCUGGCGGUAGGCCUAACACAUGCAAGUCGAACGGCAGCACAGUAAGAGCUUGCUCUUAUGGGUGGCGAGUGGCGGACGGGUGAGGAAUACAUCGGAAUCUACCUUUUCGUGGGGGAUAACGUAGGGAAACUUACGCUAAUACCGCAUACGACCUUCGGGUGAAAGCAGGGGACCUUCGGGCCUUGCGCGGAUAGAUGAGCCGAUGUCGGAUUAGCUAGUAGGCGGGGUAAAGGCCCACCAAGGCGACGAUCCGUAGCUGGUCUGAGAGGAUGAUCAGCCACACUGGAACUGAGACACGGUCCAGACUCCUACGGGAGGCAGCAGUGGGGAAUAUUGGACAAUGGGCGCAAGCCUGAUCCAGCCAUACCGCGUGGGUGAAGAAGGCCUUCGGGUU